CCUACGGGAGGCAGCAGUGGGGAAUCUUCCGCAAUGGACGAAAGUCUGACGGAGCAACGCCGCGUGAGUGAUGACGGCCUUCGGGUUGUAAAGCUCUGUUAAUCGGGACGAAUGGUUCUUGUGCAAAUAGUGCGAGGAUUUGACGGUACCGGAAUAGAAAGCCACGGCUAACUACGUGCCAGCAGCCGCGGUAAUACGUAGGUGGCAAGCGUUGUCCGGAAUUAUUGGGCGUAAAGCGCGCGCAGGCGGAUUGGUCAGUCUGUCUUAAAAGUUCGGGGCUUAACCCCGUGAUGGGAUGGAAACUGCCAAUCUAGAGUAUCGGAGAGGAAAGUGGAAUUCCUAGUGUAGCGGUGAAAUGCGUAGAUAUUAGGAAGAACACCAGUGGCGAAGGCGACUUUCUGGACGAAAACUGACGCUGAGGCGCGAAAGCCAGGGGAGCGAACGGGAUUAGAUACCCCAGUAGUC
rnacentral:rRNA from 1 species